rnacentral:rRNA from 1 species
GACGAACGCUGGCGGCGUGCCUAAUACAUGCAAGUAGAACGCUGAAGGAGGAGCUUGCUUCUCUGGAUGAGUUGCGAACGGGUGAGUAACGCGUAGGUAACCUGCCUGGUAGCGGGGGAUAACUAUUGGAAACGAUAGCUAAUACCGCAUAAGAGUAGAUGUUGCAUGACAUUUGCUUAAAAGGUGCAAUUGCAUCACUACCAGAUGGACCUGCGUUGUAUUAGCUAGUUGGUGGGGUAACGGCUCACCAAGGCGACGAUACAUAGCCGACCUGAGAGGGUGAUCGGCCACACUGGGACUGAGACACGGCCCAGACUCCUACGGGAGGCAGCAGUAGGGAAUCUUCGGCAAUGGACGGAAGUCUGACCGAGCAACGCCGCGUGAGUGAAGAAGGUUUUCGGAUCGUAAAGCUCUGUUGUAAGAGAAGAACGAGUGUGAGAGUGGAAAGUUCACAUUGUGACGGUAUCUUACCAGAAAGGGACGGCUAACUACGUG